AAAACAGGUGUCAUACAGCAGGAGCAAGAAGCCGGUUACCAGCCUGCUAGGCCAAAGGAGAAUUUACAGGCAACUGAGUGGAGGAAAGGGGGGAUUCAGAUUUUUUGAAGAUGUCUGUAUGCAGCAAAAUGCAGAUGCCUGCACUCAAGUAUGCAGUCUUUGCCUUUGCAAAGAAAGCUAGCAUACGUCCCAUGGAGCCAGAUAUUGAAAUGUGAAUUGGGGGUGGGUUUGGGACCUGCGGCUGGCAGCACGGUGCGUGGGUGGUGGUUGAUUCCUGCUGCACAGUGGUUGCUGCUGCUGGCUGUGCUCCUGGCUGUGCUCGCUGUAGCAGAGUCAGCAGAGGGCUGGCACAUUCACACUGCUGUUCAGACCUGAUUCAAGGAAAAUCAUGGCUGCUUCAGUUUUGGCUCAUCUCGCGGAAUGACUCAUCUGUUAUGAGAUGGGACCCACCUAGAAAAGAUGGGAUUGAGUUGCAUUCCUCUUUCAGUUCCUUUAAGUGUGUGAAAAUUAUCAGGGUAUGUCUGAGCCCCAUUAACAUCUUAUAAAUAAAUAAAAGGAAAAAGGAAAAAAAAAAAAGAAACCCUCCUAUAAACAUAUCUUGCUGCCCUCUAUUCUACCUCCGCUUCCCCAUGAACACGUAGCCGUGCGUGCAGCCGUGGGCUUGUCAAAGCGAGUGCUGUGGGGGAGAGGGAGGUGGAGGGGGAGACCGUGGCUGGGGCCCUCGAGGUCAGCGGGGUCCUGGAGGCUCUCCCCGUCCCAGGUGAGCCUCCAGCUGCCUGCGGGGGGGAGGCUGGCGGUAGGGGAGGCUCCUCCGGCCCGGCCUGCAGGUAGUGGGCUCUGGCGCCUUGCAGCGGGAGGCAGAGGCCGCCACUUGCUCCCCAGCACCUCGGGAGGGCGCGGGGGUGGCCCUGCUCCUCGCCCUGCUCCUCGAGCUCGCAGGUACUUAACAGCUUUGCCUCCCUGGCCCAGAGGAUGGGGGCACGGGGAGGCACCGUGCCGGUCUCCUUUCCCCCAGGAAAACAGGGUGAAAGCAGCCUCGAUGGUCGGAGCUAGGCUGUGCUGUACUGCCUGGCCCUGUUUUGGAAAACACCCCGCUUUGUUUCCCCAGAAUGGGUCCGGGCUUCAGCUAGUAGCAGUCUGUGCUCCCCGUUCAGCAGCUUGGAUGGGGGAGCCAGAUUUGAGAAGGGGGAUCAGAGCAGGGACCUGGGGGCAGUGGAGAGCCAACAGCACCCCCAGCACCCCAGGGCCCCUGACCACAUAAGCAAGAGCUGAGCAGGAGCAGCCCAGAGUCUGGCUUCCUACAGCCCUCCUGUACUGGCCUCCGAGAGGGUUUUGUUGUUUUAUUUGUGUUGUGGAUUUUUUAUUUUUUUUUAACGCAGACCAUAGGAGCUAAACAUAAGAGAGAAUAGUUUUUAUCUAACCACAGUUUUCUGCAUUGCAUAGAAAAGGUUUCCAGCAGGACGUCAGGAUGAAGCGGUUCAUGGCCAUGUUAAGCAGGAACAAACACAAGGAUCCCCCACCCACCAAGCUGCUGGAUCUAGCGGGGCAGCUUUGCCGGGACCUCCAGAGCUCAUUCCCUAAUCUGGAGAAGCUGGUUGGGGCCGUGAUGAGAUGCAAACAAAAGAUGCAUUUUCUCACUAACAUCCACGUUGUCCGAGCUUGUGUGUUUGUUCACAUCCGUAACGGGCAGCAUGACACAGCCUGCAGGCUCCUGGAGUGUUGCAGGGCAGAAGAGAAGGAGGAGCUGGUGCAACUUUGGCAUGAGAUUCACUACCAUAGGAUUAUGGAGAAACACCACAGAGAUUUUCUGACACCACUGCAGAAAUUUCGUUGCAGGAAGAGGAAUCCUCCACCUAUUUCCCUUUGUCCUGAGGGCUUGAAAAAUCGAAACUAUUCCAAUGAAGUACGCCAGCAGCUGUACAAAUUUGCUGCAGAAGUGACAACAAAUCCAAACAAGAAACAACGGGAGGGAUUAGCUCAGGACAUGAACCUGCAGCCAGCUCAGGUCUAUAACUGGUUUGCAAAUUAUCGACGACGUCAAAAAUCCCGCAUCUGUCGUGAGGAAAAGCUUAACUACUUGUGCCCUGAGGGGACCUUGAUGCACCAUGCAAAGGAUCAGCAGAAUAGAGGAUCCUACACUCCACAAACUGCAGGUGGAUCUUAUGUAGGCAUUUGCUCUGAGCAGACAGAGAUAAACCUCAUGCCCUGUGACCCAGGGUGGGAGCAGGCAGCUACAGACAUGGAUAAGUCUCCAGAAGGAAUGUACUUAAAGAUGCUGGAAUCCAGCUUUAUUCAGAGCAGUGCACUGUGCGAACCAAGGACAAGCAAGGCAUUGAUGACUCACAUCACUGAACAACCUGUAGCUUUUUUCAGUGAGGCUGUGCUGGAACCAGGAACCUGCUUUAACUCUGCCGUCUUUCAGCCCAGAGAAGCAGCAAGCAGUAUUGACGCUGGCCCCCAGCUGGAUAACUUUGUUGUGUGCUCUUGUGGGUCCCUUAUCUUCCCAGGUGAACGUCUGGCCAUGUGGCAGGCCCCUCCCAGCACCACAGGAGUCUCCAGCUCCAUGUGGACCCCAAAUGUAGAAGGUUAGUAAAAAUUAACCCAGACUAUGGCCCUUAAGAGUUUUUCCAGGCUUCUCCUCCCUUUGCUGAAAACAUGCUUUAUUACAUGGCUUUCCCACAUCAUGACAAACGGGAGGAGGGUGUAUCUUCAGCUCCCAUAACAGCAUAGGAAACCUGUUGAUUUAAGGUGCUGAACCAGACAUUCUUGCCUACUAUCUUGCUAAGACUGUAACUCCUUCCUAAGAUAGUGCUUUUCCAGCAAGGUGGACUCCUUUUAGCUUUUCCAUUGGAAGGGUCCCUUCAGGUGCUGUCUGCUCACCUUGUCAGUUAGCAGGCUUCUGGGUUUUUAAACCCCUGACAAUUCUUCAGAGGCAAGUGCUGAUUGCCUGAGCAGAUGCUGGAAGCAUGGUGCUCAUCUUCAGCAACACUUUCUCACUUGCCUUUCUUCUUCCUGCUUUUCUCUCUCCCUCUCUGUUUCCUUCCUAUCCUGUCUUGUUCAGCAUUCCCACCAUCUCUUUUCUUGUCCCUGUUCUUCAGAAUGGCCUUGAUACGAUACAUAACAUGUGCUUUUGCUAUAGGUCUACAGAGUGGAAGGUGCUGUGACUGCUAUUUGCACAACCUCUGGUGAAUGCACAGCAAAGGGGGGGACUAGCUGGGUCAGAGGUUGAGGUCAUGUUAUCUGUAAUUGUCUUUAAUACGAACAUUUAUUUCAGCAGGUGUAAGAGCUCCCUUAAGCAGAGUCUCUCAAGGUGGUUUUAUUGAGGCCAGUUCAGGAAGAAUCAUUCGGCAGUCAGAUUUAGAGGUUGAAAACUUCACCCUUAGAGAAGGACAGCUAGGGACCCUGGAGGCUAUUCUUCCCCACAGGUAAAGGAGUGGAAAGCACAGGGCUUCUCAAAGGCAGGACUAACAAUGAUUGUUGUGAAUCUAGCCUUGUCCUGAUUCCCCUAUUAAAGAGGGCUGCAGAAAGUGUGGUAAUGCAUCUCAUUCCAGGGGCCUGACUCUCCGCUUGUCCUCAUCAGAUUCUAAAGAUAUUUUUAUCUGUGUGCUGGAAAUGGGAAAUGCUGCAUAAACGUGUGUGUGUUUUACAGCGUGGUUAGUACAAAGGAGAUUCAGGGCCAGCAUCGCAAACCCCUCUCUUUAAAGCAGGUUUGGCAUCUAAGCCAUUUGCCUGUUUUUCUUUUUGGCAGAAAAUCAUAACUUACACUGAUCUCUGCAAGAGCUGACCCUGCAGGCUGGGUUGGUAGGGCCUGUACUUAAUCCUAAAAUAGUUUUUUGUAGCUUCAUAACCUCAUGACAAGAUUAUUCCGUAGUGCAAGCUUUCCGAAUUGAAGACAGAAAGACAGGCACUGUUCUGCCUUUUUGUUUUCCACCUGUACCGAAUGUUUCAGACAGCAGGUUUUCUCUGGGACUUGAGAUAAAUUCACAGAAUGCAAAACAACAAAAAUCCGUGCCAUCUUCCAUGUGUUACACAACUUCCAUAAUGUUACAUAAAAAUAAACACUGCAAAACAGACAUUAUAAAGUUCCUUUAAUCUGCUGAUCUGCAAGACAGAUCAGGAGUAGUAGUACCAUUUUGUAACCCUUCUGCUUGACCCUGUCCAGCAUUUGUGCUAGCAUAACCCUGUCAAUAAUGUGUCAAAGAGGUAGGCAGAAGAAGCAGUUUUAUUCCAGUUUUGCAGAUGAGGAAGCAGAGGCAGGGAGAGGCUUUGUGGCUUGUCAAAGCAACAAGGGAAGGCAGUGAUUCACUGGAGAUAGUGAUCAGUAGAUUUUUUUGCCUCCCAGUUAGUUCCCUGCUAUAAACAUUUCUGCCUUUUACCUCUGUUUCCCAGUUGGCUUGGUGCCUACAGUUGUUCACAUUCAUGUCAGACUCCCUCCUCAGAAUUGCUGGGGUGAACCCAGGUCUAGGUAUUGUGAGCCCACCUCAGCCUGUGUUUUGGGAUUUGCAGUUUUAAACUGUGGCUAAGGAUUAUGAAAGAUGAGUGAGGAAUUGCUGGCAAUAUUUUGGCUGGAUGUAAAAUUGCAUGUUCUGACUCUAGAGUGAGCUCAUGUUUAUUUUUAAAGUAUGUUCCACCACUAGAAGAAAUCUAUGGUGAAUGUCUCCUUGUUGGGUAUGUCAGUUGUGCCAGGAAUCCAUACACCCUUUAUCAUAUUCCUGGCAGGGGCAGGACUUGCUGCUUCAUCGACACCUUCUGGUGAGGAUACAGUUAUUUGAACUCUGUAGACCCUACUUAGUUUAGUGGCCUGGUCCAUCUCCCCUCAGAACCUUGAACUCCCCAAAAUACCAUGCAUGGUAUGGACCUUAAAUCUUUUCAGGAGUGAGUGAGGCUUAGGCUGCAAUCUUACCCGGGCCUUUUUGCAAUUUCUCUCUAGAGAGCCAGCAGACCUUGGGUGGGAUGUCUUGGGUGAGAUCACUGUGCAGUGAUGGGCAAUGAGUGAGGAUCACCUCUGUUAUCAAGCAGUGCCCUCUAACAGGCUUACUGGAUUAAAGAGGAGUAUUGUGUCACCCGAGUCAUCUUUAGCAGCAGUGUUGCAAUGAGCAUCACUCAUCUGGGGACUUAAGAAGGAGUCAACAGCUUAAUCUGUGAGGCAGAUGAGUGGUAUUAUCUUAGAAAGACAGGGCAGUGAAACUAUCCAUGCUUUGGUGAUAAAAGUAAAGCUGAGAGAAGGAAAUUAUUUAUCCAGGGUCACCCAUCUGGAGUGGACUUCUGCUGUGAUAGUCGCUGCCUAUAUCGGUCUGCUUGUAGGUGCCAGGGUAGAGCUGCAAGUCAGCCAAAGGAACCUUGAUCUGCAUGUCUCGUUUUAAAGGUGCUCACCUGGAAAGGACUUGCCUUGAAAGCUUAUUAGACCAAUUUUGGUUUAUUUCUUUUAUGGGCUUUUUCCAGUUGGUCCUACGCACUUGGGCUGUAUCCAAACCUCUCACGCUCCACAGGGCUGUGAGGUGGGAGUGUGAGGGGGAGCCAGGCUGGGAGCUGACUGUCUCCAUCUGCUCCUGCUGCCUGACAGGAGGGUGUGAUCCAGCUAGUGAACUGGAGGGCCCUGUGGGGCAUCAAACAGAUGCUUGCCUCUACAGAUAGUGUUGUUUUAUCCUCUUCAUUCUUCUGGUUGGGACAGGUGGAAUGUAGCCUGGCUAAUGGUUCGUGCAGAAUAUGGCUCUCCUGUGCCUCACUUUUCAAGCAGAAAAGCACACUGAACUUUAUAGAGCAAGACAGACUGCGUUUAUGAGCCAGCUUAUUGAUUUAGAAAAUACCAGUGCUGGGAUGUUUGUUGCAGCUUACCAAUUCUUCCUGUGCUUUGCAAUGCCAGCUCAGUACAGUAGGAAUCUCCUGCCAUUAGGCUCGCGCCCCAGAUAACCCCACUGCGCGUGACACUGGCAGGCAGCAAGUUUCAAAUGUGCAAAAGGAGGCUACUUUUGGGCAUGUUGCAUAAUUAAAUCACAGAAUUUGUUGCUAAGGGUGUUGUGCAUGUCAAAGUGUAAGUGGGCAAUGAUAAAGGAUGAGAGGAAUUUGUGGGGGUAGGGGCUGAGUCUGUUUGUCAUUAGUAAAUGUAAUUGCAUGAAUGCAGCCUCCAGCAAAGGAAUCCCGAGACUGAUUGCUGAAACCUGGAGGGGAUCCCAAGGAAGGGCAACUUGACAAGAAACAGCCCUGUUCCUUGUACUUUUUUCCCAAGUUCUAUUAGUUGAUUCCUUUAGUUUGGGCUUGUAUGGCUGUUCAUACCCUGGGGUAUUCCUGGCAGUGGUAUGGGCAGUGUUGUUGGAGUACAGAUAUGGAGUUGGUGACAAAGGGCAUCCCAUCGUCGAGUACCCAGUGUCUCCUACUUGGCGCAGUGCCUGCAGACUCUUUUCAGACGUUGGCAGAGCCCCUGGGGAGGUGUGGAUGGGGAAGCCAUGUCCCCAGACUGUCAGCUGAUGGCCUUGAAAAGCUAUAGUAGAAUUACAGCUAAUGUUGUGGCUAUGUCUGAAGCCACCUUCGGAUGUUUUGACUCUGAGGACCUCUGUGUUUUUAAAAUAUGUUCCAGGAGAAAGACAUUUUGGUAGACAUCUCUCUGUUUAUGCAGAGUGUUCUAGGGGCAUAAGGCAAGUUGCAAAUGGAGAUGUCAGUCCUGUAUACUGCUCCUGGUCAGGCUAGUCCUCCCAUUGCACAAUCUGUUUUUUCGGUCUGUGACAAUCUGAAGAAAUGACACAGUUCCCAUCAGACUGUGGCUGGCAAGCCUCAGUGCCCACCUGUUUCUGCACCCUGCAUGGAAGAAAGCCAAGCCAUGGGACAAGGCCAGGUGCUGGAGGAUCCAGUUGGUGACCCAUUAGCCGAUGAUACAUUCUGGGCAGCACAGCUGCUCUUUCGAAUUCUCAGCUGGGGGACAAAUGUGACCUGCCUACAGUGAUGCUCAAUGUGGUCUGCACUUCUCCAGGAAACACCCUAUUCUUUCCUGUUUUUCUCUCAUUAAUUUUUUAAAAUGAAUGAAGAGUUUGACAUGGAGUUGAGGAACAGAAAGAAUGAGGUAGAUGGAUGAAGGCCUUUUCCUAAUAGUUAUGCAGUUGGUUUUAGUUUUAUGAAGAAUUUUGCAAAGAAUAUAAGAAACCAAAGGUACAUUGUGGAUUGUAGGUUUUCACUAGAGCAGUCUGAAUUUGCUCUGUGAACGUUAAAAUAUCAAGUCACUGAUUCUGUGUUAGUUGCAUAGUUCUACCUAUAGCACUGGUCAGAUAAGAGUCCUUCAUUACACCAUGCAGGCAUAUGAAACUCUACUCAGAAGGAAUAAAAUCUUAGUUACAUUGCCUAACAGUUGGAUAUUGGAUACGAGAUAAAGGUUAUCUCAGGCAUGGAAAAUAAGGACUCAGCUAAGUGCUGGUAAAACACUGCUGUUACUCAUCUCUGCACUUCUGUUGUGCUGCUGGGCAUCACUUUGAAAUGUUCCAUGCUCUAUAGUGCUGUAGAAGACACAGGACUGGAGCAUGGCAGAAAUUACAGUGCUAGAGUUGCUGUUCUUGCAGGACUGGAAGGGGGGCAUACAAGUGCAUUGGUAGCUAACGCUGCCUGCAUCUGAUUGCCUGCAAAAGGCGGAUAAAUGGUGGGAGCCUCUUGAGCCGUUUCAGUUCCCAGAUCUGGAUGGGCUGAAAUUGCACAGGCAAUUGUGUCACCCUUCAGGCUGGUCUGCGGCAGUGUGACGCUCAGCAGCAGCAGGUGAGCGCAUCCUAUUUGCCCUGCAACGCAGUGUGAGCUGCGCGAGGCGUCUUUGAGCAGGGGCUAAAGCUGUAUUUGGCUGAAGGCUACUUACUCCACAGGGGUAGGAAGUUCCAAGUGCGACCCACCUGGGAAAUGUGCACAAUUCUUUACUUUUUGCCCAGUGCUUUUCCGUGUUUAACCCAGCCUGGAGGCCUCCUGUCACACUCACUGCCUUGUGCUGCUCACAGAUCAGGAGCCCUGUUCCUUUUCUUUCACUUUCAGACUAAGAAGUAGAAUUGUGUAUGAAUAGCAAAGCAGGCUUAAAAUUUCUGCUGUAAGUCAUCGGGCAGUCUUUUUGGUACUUUCUGUAACUAUUACUGGUAUUUUUUAAAUAGCAAGGUAUUGUGAAAGGGGUAAUCUUUGUCAAAUCUACUGCUCUGAGAUGAACAAAGUAGAUGCCUCCAGAACUGUUUGUAAUAGUUGUCAAAUAAAGGUUAUGAAUGACUCUUUCUCAAGGGUUCAUCUU